UACGAAGGGUGCAAGCGUUACUCGGAAUUACUGGGCGUAAAGCGUGCGCAGGCGGUUUUGUAAGACAGAGGUGAAAUCCCCGGGCUCAACCUGGGAACUGCCUUUGUGACUGCAAGGCUUGAGUGCGGCAGAGGGGGAUGGAAUUCCGCGUGUAGCAGUGAAAUGCGUAGAUAUGCGGAGGAACACCGAUGGCGAAGGCAAUCCCCUGGGCCUGCACUGACGCUCAUGCACGAAAGCGUGGGGAGCAAACAGG
rnacentral:rRNA from 1 species